rnacentral:rRNA from 1 species
UUGAUAGUACCUUACUACUUGGAUAACCGUGGUAAUUCUAGAGCUAAUACAUGCUAAAAACCCCAACUUCGGGAGGGGUGUAUUUAUUAGAUAAAAAACCAAUGCCCUUCGGGGCUCUCUGGUGAUUCAUAAUAACUUCUCAGAUCGCAUGGCCUUGCGCCGGCGACGGUUCAUUCAAAUUUCUGCCCUAUCAACUUUCGAUGGUAAGGUAUUGGCUUACCAUGGUUUCAACGGGUAACGGGGAAUUAGGGUUCGAUUCCGGAGAGGGAGCCUGAGAAACGGCUACCACAUCCAAGGAAGGCAGCAGGCGCGCAAAUUACCCAAUCCCAAUACGGGGAGGUAGUGACAAUAAAUACUGAUACAGGGCUCUUUAGGGUCUUGUAAUUGGAAUGAGUACAAUUUAAACCUCUUAACGAGGAACAAUUGGAGGGCAAGUCUGGUGCCAGCAGCCGCGGUAAUUCCAGCUCCAAUAGCGUAUAUUAAAGUUGUUGCAGUUAAAAAGCUCGUAGUUGAACCUUUGGCCUGGCUGGCGGGUCCGCCUCACCGCGUGCACUCGUCCGGCCGGGCCUUUUCUUCUGGAGAACCGCAUGCCCUUCACUGGGUGUGUUGGGGACCAGGACUUUUACUUUGAAUAAAUCAGAGUGUUCAAAGCAGGCAUUUGCUCGAAUACGUUAGCAUGGAAUAAUAGAAUAGGACGUGCGGUCUUAUUUUGUUGGUUUCUAAGACCGCCGUAAUGAUUAAUAGGGACAGUCGGGGGCAUCAGUAUUCAWUUGUCAGAGGUGAAAUUCUUGGAUUUAUUGAAGACUAACUACUGCGAAAGCAUUUGCCAAGGAUGUUUUCAUUAAUCAGUGAACGAAAGUUAGGGGAUCGAAGACGAUCAGAUACCGUCGUAGUCUUAACCAUAAACUAUGCCGACUAGGGAUCGGGCGGUGUUAUUAUUUUGACUCGCUCGGCACCUUACGAGAA